rnacentral:rRNA from 1 species
CAAAAACAUAGUGUUAUGUAAAUUAAUAUAAGAUUUUACCUGCCCAAUGAUAUAUUUUAAUGGCCGCAGUACUUUGACUGUGCUAAGGUAGCAUAAUAAAUUGACUUUUAAUUUAGGUCUGGAAUGAAAGGAUUAAUGAAUAUUUACUGUCUCUAAUAAGUUAUUAUUAAUUUAUAAUAUAAGGUGCAAAUUCCUUAAUAUAAAUUAAAAAGACGAGAAGACCCUAGGAGUUUAUAAAAUUAUUUUGUUGGGGCAACAUUAUAGCAUAUAACCUAUAAUAUAUUAUUUUAUAACAAAUAUUUAUAUAAUGAGUAAACUACCCUAGGGAUAACAGCAUAAUUUAUAUUAAAUGAGUUUGUGACCUCGAUGUUGGACUAGGGACUUUAAAUAUUAAAUAUAUUUAUUGAUUUGUUCUGUUCGAACAUAUUAAACCUACAUGAUCU